AAUGUUAGAUGAUUGCAGGUGUAGGUGAGGCAGCUAAGGUACCCCACCUUAGCUGCCUCACCUACACCUGCAAUCAUCUAACAUU
rnacentral:miRNA from 1 species